AUUGAACGCUGGCGGCAGGCCUAACACAUGCAAGUCGAGCUAGCGGCGGACGGGUGAGUAAUGUAUGGGGCUCUGCCCGAUAGAGGGGGAUAACUACUGUAAACGGUGGCUAAUACCGCAUACUAUCGUAUGACCCCAUAUGGGAUUAGCUAGUAGGUGGGGUAAAGGCUCACCUGGGCGACGAGCUCUAGCUGGUCUGAGAGGAUGAUCAGCCACACUGGGACUGAGACACGGCCCAGACUCCUACGAGAGGCAGCAGUGGAGAAUAUUGCACAAUGGGCGCAAGCCUGAUGCAGCCAUGCCGAGUGAAUGAAGAAGGUCUUAGGGUUGUAAAGUACUAUCAGCGGGGAGGCGUUACCCGCAGAAGAAGCACCAGCUAACGCCGUGCCAGCAGCCGCGGUAAUUC
rnacentral:rRNA from 1 species